rnacentral:rRNA from 1 species
AACCGCUGAAAGCAUCUAAGCGGGAAACCCACCUCAAGAUGAGAUCUCCCUGAGAGUGUAACUCUCCUAAAGGUUCGUCGAAGACUACGACGUUGAUAGGCGGGGUGUGUAAGUCCAGUAAUGGAUUCAGCUAACCCGUACUAAUUGACCGUGAGGCUUGAUCAU